rnacentral:rRNA from 1 species
GACGAACGCUGGCGGCGUGCCUAAUACAUGCAAGUCGAACGAGUGGGAACGGGUGAGUAACACGUGGGUAACCUCCCAUCAGAGGGGAUAACACUUGGAAACAGGUGCUAAACCGAUCCUGAUGGAUGGACCCGCGGUGCAUUAGCUAGUUGGUGAGGUAACGGCCAACCAAGGCCACGAUGCAUAGCCGACCUGAGAGGGUGAUCGGCCAAACUGGGACUGAGACACGGCCCAGAAGCCUACGGGAGGCAGCAGGAGGGAAUCUUCGGCAAUGGACGAAAGUCUGACCGAGCAACGCCGCGUGGGUGAAGAAGGUUUUCGGAUCGUAAAACUCUGUUGUUAGAGAAGCGGUAUCUAACCAGAAAGCCACGGCUAACUACGUGCCAGCCGCCGCGGUAAUAC